UACGGAGGGUGCAAGCGUUUGCUCGGAAUUAUUGGGCGUAAAGGGCUCGUAGGCGGUUUGUUGCGUCGGAAGUGAAAACUCAGGGCUUAACCCUGAGCCUGCUUCCGAUGACGGGCAGACUAGAGGUAUGCAGGGGAGAACGGAAUUCCUGGUGUAGCGGUGAAAUGCGCAGAUAUCAGGAGGAACACCGGUGGCGAAGGCGGUUCUCUGGGCCUUACCUGACGCUGAGGAGCGAAAGCGUGGGGAGCGAACAGG
rnacentral:rRNA from 1 species